GGGGGGCACAGUAGGGAAUCUUCCACAAUGGACGCAAGUCUGAUGGAGCAACGCCGCGUGAGUGAAGAAGGUUUUCGGAUCGUAAAGCUCUGUUGUUGGUGAAGAAGGACAUGGAUAGUAACUGAUCUAUGUUUGACGGUAAUCAACCAGAAAGUCACGGCUAACUACGUGCCAGCAGCCGCGGUAAUACGUAGGUGGCAAGCGUUGUCCGGAUUUAUUGGGCGUAAAGCGAACGCAGGCGGGAGAACAAGUCAGCUGUGAAAGCCCUCGGCUUAACCGAGGAACGGCAACUGAAACUGUUUUUCUUGAGUGCAGAAGAGGAGAGUGGAACUCCAUGUGUAGCGGUGAAAUGCGUAGAUAUAUGGAAGAACACCAGUGGCGAAGGCGGCUCUCUGGUCUGUAACUGACGCUGAGGUUCGAAAGCAUGGGUAGCGAACAGGAUUAGAUACCCUGGUAGUCCAUGCCGUAAACGAUGAGUGCUAAGUGUUGGGAGGUUUCCGCCUCUCAGUGCUGCAGCUAACGCAUAAGCACUCCGCCUGGGGAUAC
rnacentral:rRNA from 1 species